rnacentral:rRNA from 1 species
AACGAACGCUGGCGGCAUGCCUAACACAUGCAAGUCGAACGAGACCUUCGGGUCUAGUGGCGCACGGGUGCGUAACGCGUGGGAACCUGCCCUUAGGUUCGGAAUAACUCCCCGAAAGGGGUGCUAAUACCGGAUAAUGUCUUCGGACCAAAGAUUUAUCGCCUUUGGAUGGGCCCGCGUUGGAUUCGCUAGUUGGUAGGGUAAAAGCCUACCAAGGCGACGAUACAUAGCUGGUCUGAGAGGAUGAUCAGCCACACUGGGAGUGAGACACGGCCCAGACUCUUACGGGAGGCAGCAGUGGGGAAUAUUGGACAAUGGGCGAAAGCCUGAUCCAGCAAUGACGCGUGAGUGAUGAAGGCCUUAGGGUUGUAAAGCUCUUUUACCCGGGAUGAUAAUGACAGUACCGGGAGAAUAAGCUACGGCUAACUACGUG